CCUACGGGCGGCAGCAGUGGGGAAUAGUGGACAAUGGGGGAAACCCUGAUCCAGCGACGCCGCGUGAGUGAAGAAAUAUUUCGGUACGUAAAGCUCUAUCAGCAGGAAAGAAAAUGACGGUACCUGACUAAGAAGCCCCGGCUAACUACGUGCCAGCAGCCGCGGUAAUACGUAGGGGGCAAGCGGUAUCCGGAUUUACUGGGUGUAAAGGGCGCGUAGACGGCAGCGCAAGUCUGGAUUGAAAUGCCGGGGCACAACCCCGGAACUGCUCUGGAAACUGUGAAGCUGGAGUGCAGGAGUGGAAAGCGGAAUUGCUGGUGUAGCGGUGAAAUGCGUAGAGAGCAGGAGGAACACCGGCGGCGAAGGCGGCUUACUGGACUGUAACUGACGUUGAGGCUCGAAGGCGUGGGGAGCAAACAGGAUUAGAUACCCGGGUAGUC
rnacentral:rRNA from 1 species